ACCUUCAUCACCUAACCAAAAUAUCACUCUAGAUUUUCAUCAAGUCAAACCCACUGAUAAAAAAACAAACUCAUUCAUAAUAGAGCAUCAAAUAUAAGAAGACCCCAAACCACAUCAUAGCUAAACACCCUCACUGCCAUUCCCACAAUUGUAACAAAGCUGUCACUAUUGUGGUUCUCUAAACAUGUCAUCUUUGUCAACC
rnacentral:lncRNA from 1 species